UUGGGCAAUUUUGAACAAAUAAACUUGUAAAAUUAUGUCUGCCAAAAAACAUAAUUCACUGCCACAGACGUAAAGUUGCAUUUUGUGAGUUUUUUUCAAUUGAAAUUUGUAAUAAAGGCCUUCGCGUAGCUCCUCAGUAUCAAGGCUUUGGGAAUGAUUUCACUAUGCUGAAUCGACACUAGAUGGCAGUAGUUGCUUUCCUCAUAUCUUUGAGCCCAUAUCCGCUGAGACUCCAUCCGGUGUGAGAAAGGGCUGUGUUGGUGAGAAUAUGGAGAAGGAGUUUAUUUGUAUUUAUUUUUUUUUAAAGCAAAAGAAGAUGACAAAGUCAAUUCGUCACCCUUGUCUGAUAAAGAAAGCGAUAACGUUUCCCGGAAACAUUCUCUGCCGAUGUUGAGCCAGAACUUCGGAGAUAAAAGGUGUACCAAGUGGGGCUAUUGAUUGCUGGAGAUUGCGUUCACAUUGACCACAAAAAGGACUUUUAGAAAGCCUAGCAUCACAGCACAGUGGCCACCUUCGGUGUACUUACUUCGCCGACAGCGUGUUUAUGGAGCCGGUUAUCAGCAUAAGUCCCGCGAGGAACAGCUGGUAUUUGGUCCACGCCAUCUCCCGGAGUGUGAACGGGGCG